rnacentral:rRNA from 1 species
GUGAACGCUGGCGGUAGGCCUAACCCCUUCAAGUCGCACGGCAGCACAGUAAGAGCUUGCUCUUACGGGUGGCGAGUGGCGGACGGGCGAGGAAUACAUCGGAAUCUACUUUUUCGUGGGGGAUCACGUAGGGAAACUUACGCUAAUACCGCAUACGACCUACGGGUGAAAGCAGGGGAUCUUCGGACCUUGCGCGAUUGAAUGAGCCGAUGUCGGAUUAGCUAGUUGGCGGGGUAAAGGCCCACCAAGGCGACGAUCCGUAGCUGGUCUGAGAGGAUGAUCAGCCACACUGGAACUGAGACACGGUCCAGACUCCUACGGGAGGCAGCAGUGGGGAAUAUUGGACAAUGGGCGCAAGCCUGAUCCAGCCAUACCGCGUGGGUGAAGAAGGCCUUCGGGUUGUAAAGCCCUUUUGUUGGGAAAGAAAAGCAGCAGGUUAAUACCCCGCUGUUCUGACGGUACCCAAAGAAUAAGCACCGGCUAACUUCGUG